rnacentral:lncRNA from 1 species
CCCGAAAAACCAAAGUGUAAAGGUUUUUGGAUUGUGAGCCCGGAAAACAAUCCAACUGUAAUCCGCAGGAUUAUAGUGAAUUCCCAAAGGGUCGCUUGGGAAGUAGACGUAGGUGCUUAUGAGAGCACCGAACCACUAUAUUUCUUGUGUGUUUGCAUUGUGUAUUGUCUUACUUUACUACAAUUACUUACUCAUCAAUUAACUCGAGUAAGGAAUCAAAAAGUUAGAAAAACCAAUAGAAAAACCAAUUCACCCCCCCCCCCCUCUUGGCUUGUCACCUUGGGCAACACUUUCUCAUAGAUUACAAGUCGACAAUGCCAACAAAUAAUCCUCAUUGCUAUGUGGGAACAAAAGGCAGGCUUCUAGAGAACACAUGGAUGGGUUAGCUCGGACUUGAGGGACAAAUGAGCUAAAGCCAAAGGAGAAGCCAAAGUAGCCGAGGACCCUUCCAUAAGGGGAAGGAACUUGAGUUGCUUUAGGAGGCAAUUAAUGCAUUUCGGGUUUUCACAAAGGAGACAUGAUGGAGAGGAGGUACAUUUUGGGUUCAGUCUAAAAAAAAACACUUUUAG